UGCAGAUGAUGGUAGCAAAUACCUGAGCUUUCUUGAUGACUCCCAACCACCAAGAUCGCUGAUGCA